AAACAAAAAUGGCGCUCAACAAACCUACAGCGGGGACAUAGGGUUCUCAAAGAAAGAAGCCACCACACAGAAACUGCUAUAGAAGUGGAAACAGCAUUGGUGCCGUGAACUGAAAUAGAAGAGCCUACUUCUAGAGUAAUUCGUAUAACUCUGUGACAAAUCCACUUCAGCCUUGGUAAUGCCUUUCGUUUUGACUUCAAAACAUUCACUGGCUCUCGCGGAUUUGUGCUAUUUAACACCGAGAUAAAGGAAAGGGAUGCUGUGCGCAACACUCAACUCUCUGCUUCCCAUCCCUGGAACGUCUGGUUGCAUGUUCCAUCUCGUAAAGAAAUGCAUGCUGAUCAUAUGAGCACACCUAAGGAGAAAUCUGCUGGGACCAUGUUUGAUUAAAGAGAUCCUGUGGCAUCUUGUGGGCAGA
ensembl:processed_transcript D030025E07Rik RIKEN cDNA D030025E07 gene